UACGUAGGGGUCGAGCGUUGUCCGGAAUCACUGGGCGUAAAGCGCGCGCAGACGGCGAUCUACGUCUGGGGUGAAAGCCCGGAGCUCAACUCCGGGACUGCCUUGGAUACGGGAUCGCUUGAGGAUUGGAGAGGCAAGGGGAAUUCCACGUGUAGCGGUGAAAUGCGUAGAGAUGUGGAGGAACACCUGUGGCGAAGGCGCCUUGCUGGCCAAUUACUGACGCUGAGGCGCGAAAGCGUGGGGAGCAAACAGG
rnacentral:rRNA from 1 species